GAUGAACGCUGGCGGCGUGCCUAAUACAUGCAAGUCGAGCGAACGGACGAGAAGCUUGCUUUUCUGAUGUAAGCGGCGGACGGGUGAGUAACACGUGGAUAACCUACCUAUAAGACUGGGAUAACUUCGGGAAACCGGAGCUAAUACCGGAUAAUAUUUUGAACAGCAUGGUUCAAAAGUGAAAGACGGUCUUGCUGUCACUUAUAGAUGGAUCCGCGCUGCAUUAGCUAGUUGGUAAGGUAACGGCUUACCAAGGCAACGAUGCAUAGCCGACCUGAGAGGGUGAUCAGCCACACUGGAACUGAGACACGGUCCAGACUCCUACGGGAGGCAGCAGUAGGGAAUCUUCCGCAAUGGGCGAAAGCCUGACGGAGCAACGCCGCGUGAGUGAUGAAGGUCUUCGGAUCGUAAAACUCUGUUAUUAGGGAAGAACAUAUGUGUAAGUAACUGUGCACAUCUUGACGUUACCUAAUCAGAAAGCCACGGCUAACUACGUG
rnacentral:rRNA from 1 species